GUCUGGAAGCUUUAAGAGCCUUCACUCUACGUGCUAUGCUUUCUUUUCACUCUGCCACCAGAACAGCUGGGUUCCAGAUAGAGACUGCUCCGUCAGCACGGGUCCUGGUGUGCAGAGGACGCAGAGCACAGCACCCAGCAAAUCUGCAAUGGACAUAGUGACAUGGAUCUCCUGUCCAUUUCAAAGAGCAUCCUUCCUGGAGAAACAUGAGAUGGAGAGAAAGUUAGAGAAUCCCACAUGAUGACAAUCAGACUGAAUGCAGCUACUACAAAGCUAAGGUUUCUGAAACCAAGGAAGCAACUGCAUCUGAAUGAAGUAAUAAUGGCCAACCUUAUGAAGCA